AGAAGGAAACAAAAAGAAACUCAAAGUGAAAGUCAAAGAAGUGCUAAAUUUAUCUGGAGAAGAUCGUAUUGUGAUCAAUUUUGAUUACCUAGAUUGUCCAUUUGGAGAAGCACAACCCCUUCUUUAUGGUUUUUGUGGAAUUUUAGCUGCUGAUUCCUCCUUAUUUCCAAUGCACUUCGACAAAUGGCCGAAUAUGCCUAUGUCAUACUUUGAUCGCGUCUUUGAUCAACUCAUAGUGCCUCGAUUUUUUUUUGAGACAACCGACUUAGUUGCACGACGAUAUGUUUAUAAUUGUAUUUCAAAGAAGUGGAGUGCAAAUAGGUUGGACAUAUGGGAAGUGUUCAGUGAUCCACUUAAGAGCAAAACUCAGAUUAUGGAUAAUGUUCCACCUGGAAUUCCAAGAGAUCAGUGGACUUCUUAAUGUUAAUUAUCGUUAUAAAAAAGAAACAUAGGUAUAUAUAUUUAAUUGUUUCAACUAGUAUGUGUAGUCAUAUAAUUACUUUUUAAUGAUUGAAUUUCAUGUACCUUUUGUAAGGAAAAUGUGAAACAGAAAUGCUGAAAAUCGAAAGAAACAAAUCAUUCCACACACAGCUGGAUCCAAAGCUAACUCUAGAAGAAGGGGUGAAAUGAUGGCUGAGACCGAUCAAAUGUCUGGAUGAGCAUAACUUUAUCUUGCUACUCAUAAGAAUGUAAAUGGAGCAUAUGUUAAUGAAGCGGCAAAUGUUGUAUGUG